rnacentral:rRNA from 1 species
AGUGAACGCUGGCGGUAGGCCUAACACAUGCAAGUCGAACGGCAGCACAGUAAGAGCUUGCUCUUACUGGUGGCGAGUGGCGGACGGGUGAGGAAUACAUCGGAAUCUACUUUUUCGUGGGUGAUAACGUAGGGAAACUUACGCUAAUACCUCAUACUACCUACGGGUUAAAGCAGGGGAUCUUCGGACCUUGCGCGUUUGUAUGAGCCGAUGUCGGAUUAGCUAGUUGGCGGGGUAAAGGCCCACCAAGGCGACGAUCCGUAGCUGGUCUGAGAGGAUGAUCAGCCACACUGGAACUGAGACACGGUCCAGACUCCUACGGGAGGCAGCAGUGGGGAAUAUUGGACAAUGGGCGCAAGCCUGAUCCAGCCAUACCGCGUGGGUGAAGAAGGCCUUCGGGUUGUAAAGCCCUUUUGUUGGGAAAGAAAAGCAGCAGGUUAAUACCCCGAUGUUCUGACGGUACCCAAAGAAUAAGCACCGGCUAACUUCGUG